GAUAUAACGGGACUUGAAUCACCAAUAUGGUUAGACAUUGAUUUUCUAAUUUGUUUUACUUUUACUGCUAUGGAAUCAGAAAUUCAAAGAAAAAUAGAGGAAACAGUCUUGGACAUACUGAACAAAUCCAACAUGGAAGAAGCCACCGAGUUCGGCAUACGACUCGCUGCCUCGGAGAGACUCGGUAUCGACCUCUCCGACUCCAUCAGUAAACACUUUGUUAGAAGCAUAGUUGAGUCGUAUCUUCUCUCCAUUAUGGCCAAUGGAAAGGCGGAGAAGAAGGAAAAUGUAGUCAGUGUCGAUGAGGAGACGGAGGUGGUGAAACUGAAGAGGGAAGAUCCUGAACGUAUUAUUUGUCAUCUGUCGAAUAGGAGGAACGUAUCCGUGAAAGCAUUCAGAGGGACGUCACUAGUCUCAAUUAGGGAGUUCUAUAUGAAAGAUGGAAAACUACUUCCUGGUUGUAAAGGUAUUAGUUUACCUUCUGAGCAAUGGUCAAUCUUCAAGGAGAGUGUUCCUGCAAUAGAAGAAGCUAUCUUAAAGAUGGAAGGAAGGAUGAGAUUGGAGGUUAAUGGUAAGCAACAUGAAGAUGGGUCAAAAUCGGUUGUCGCGGCUGCUCCUCUUGAGCCUGUUGUCCCUGUUCCUCCACUUGAGCCUAUAGUCCCUAUUGAAGUUGUCCGUUUUGAUGGGAAGAAUUUCCAUUUCUGGGCUCAGCAGAUGAAAUCACUAUUGAAACAAUUAAAGAUUGAACAUGUACUAAUUGAACCAUGCCCGAAUGCUGCAUUAGGGGAAGGUGCAAAGGCCGAAGACAUUGCUGCAGCCAAGGCUGCAGAAAGGAGAUGGUUAAAUGAUGAUGUAGUGUGUUGCCGCAAUAUCUUGAGCCAUUUAUCUGAUCCUCUUUUCAACCAGUAUGUGAACAGAAAAAUGAGCAGCAAGGAAUUAUGGGAAGAGCUAAAAAUGGUUUAUCUGUAUGAGGAAUUUGGAACCAAGAGAUCUCAAGUGAAAAAGUAUAUUGAAUUUCAGAUAGUUGAUGAAAAAACAGUGAUUGAGCAAGUCCGAGACCUAAAUGGCAUUGCAGAUUCUAUUGCUGCUUCUGGAAUAAUCAUUGACGAUAACUUUCAUGUUAGUGUCAUCAUUUCAAAGCUUCCACCAUCCUGGAAGAACUUCUGCAUCAGGUUAUUGCGUGAGGAAUAUUUACCUUUCUGGAAGUUAAUGGAAUGUAUACAGGUAGAGGAAGAAUUUCGGUGUGGAGUACAACGAGGGGGUGAACAUUCUUACAGUAUGGGAUUUCACCCGGGCAGUAGAGGUGGUGGACAGAGGAGCGUUGACUAUAAGCCACCAGGAAUCUGGAGGAAUAGGCCAUAAAUCAAUGCCAGGAGCUUAUCCUGUAAUGUAUGUGGCAAGAGGGGACAUCUUUCAAAAAAUUGCUGGAGAAGAAGUGACAGGCAAACUAAUGAAAGGAGAGCAGAAGAUGAUCUCAGCACAUCUACCACAGAAGUUGAUACUCAGGCUUCUAUUCCUACCGACAAAUUGAUUCUGGACGGUAGUGUGGGGUUGUGUAAUUGCCGUGGACAAAAGUAUCAAAUGACUUUGGGUAUGAAAUUUGUAAAUUAUUUCUUGUCUUUUAGAAAUAAUUCUCUUGUCAACUGAAAAAAAAAUGUUUUUUUCUUAAUUUAAUUUCAGAAAAAAAAAAUCUUUCUUUUUAUGGAAAGAACUAUAUCAUAAUCAGUUACUUCAAAAUUAGAAAUUUUAAAAGUUCCACAUAUGCAAAUCUUACCAACACUGGCUUAAUUUGUAGCAGUGUCUCAACUGAGCUGCACCAAAGAGUAUAAAAGGUCUAGAAUGAUGAUAGCAAUAUUAGGAUUGAAGAUAGAUUUAAGUGAAACAUAAAUUGUGGGUAAAGGUGGUGUAGAUUAUUUUUUUUGGGGAACCAUUUUGUGUGACGUUUUGCUGUGCACCAAAAUUGAAAGAAAGUCCCACAUUUUGAAAACACCUGU